rnacentral:rRNA from 1 species
GCGCGAAAGCACGAUGAGGGAUCCCAAGUGCUUGCUCGUAAGAGUAAGCUGUUUUUAUGUCUAAAAAGCAUAGAGAGUAAGGGCUGGGUAAGACGGGUGCCAGCCGCCGCGGUAAUACCUGCAGCUCAAGUGGUGACCGCUAUUAUUGGGCCUAAAACGUUCGUAGCCGGUUUGGUAAAUGCCUGGGUAAAUCGUGUAGCUUAACUAUACGAAUUCCGGGUAGACUGCCAAACUUGAGACCGGGAGAAGCUAGAGGUACUCCUGGGGUAGAGGUGAAAUUCUGUAAUCCUGGGGGGACCACCAGUGGCGAAGGCGUCUAGCUAGAACGGGUUUGACGGUGAGGAACGAAGCCCUGGGGCGCAAACCGGAUUAGAUACCCGGGUAGUCCAGGGUGUAAACGCUGCUUGCUUGAUGUUAGUUGGGCUCCGAGCCCAAUUAGUGUCGGAGAGAAGUUGUUAAGCAAGCUGCCUGGGAAGUACGGCGCGAAAGCGCGCGAAAGCGCGCGAAAGCGCGCGAAAGCA